rnacentral:rRNA from 1 species
GACGAACGCUGGCGGCGUGCUUAACACAUGCAAGUCGAACGGAAAGGCCCUGCUUUUGUGGGGUGCUCGAGUGGCGAACGGGUGAGUAACACGUGAGUAACCUGCCCUUGACUUUGGGAUAACUUCAGGAAACUGGGGCUAAUACCGGAUAGGAGCUCCUGCUGCAUGGUGGGGGUUGGAAAGUUUCGGCGGUUGGGGAUGGACUGGCGGCUUAUCAGCUUGUUGGUGGGGUAGUGGCUUACCAAGGCUUUGACGGGUAGCCGGCCUGAGCGGGUGACCGGCAAGAUUGGGACUGAGAUACGGCCCAGACUCCUACGGGAGGGAGCAGUGGGGAAUAUUGCACAAUGGGCGGAAGCCUGAUGCAGUAACGCCGCGUGCGGGAUGAAGGCCUUCGGGUUGUAAAGCGCUUUCGCCUGUGACGAAGCGUGAGUGACGGUAAUGGGUAAAGAAGCACCGGCCAACUACGUG